rnacentral:rRNA from 1 species
AAAUUGAAGAGUUUGAUCAUGGCUCAGAUUGAACGCUGGCGGCAGGCCUAACACAUGCAAGUCGAACGGUAACAGGAAGAAGCUUGCUUCUUUGCUGACGAGUGGCGGACGGGUGAGUAAUGUCUGGGAAACUGCCUGAUGGAGGGGGAUAACUACUGGAAACGGUAGCUAAUACCGCAUAACGUCGCAAGACCAAAGAGGGGGACCUUCGGGCCUCUUGCCAUCGGAUGUGCCCAGAUGGGAUUAGCUUGUUGGUGGGGUAACGGCUCACCAAGGCGACGAUCCCUAGCUGGUCUGAGAGGAUGACCAGCCACACUGGAACUGAGACACGGUCCAGACUCCUACGGGAGGCAGCAGUGGGGAAUAUUGCACAAUGGGCGCAAGCCUGAUGCAGCCAUGCCGCGUGUAUGAAGAAGGCCUUCGGGUUGUAAAGUACUUUCAGCGGGGAGGAAGGGAGUAAAGUUAAUACCUUUGCUCAUUGACGUUACCCGCAGAAGAAGCACCGGCUAACUCCGUGCCAGCAGCCGCGGUAAUACGGAGGGUGCAAGCGUUAAUCGGAAUUACUGGGCGUAAAGCGCACGCAGGCGGUUUGUUAAGUCAGAUGUGAAAUCCCCGGGCUCAACCUGGGAACUGCAUCUGAUACUGGCAAGCUUGAGUCUCGUAGAGGGGGGUAGAAUUCCAGGUGUAGCGGUGAAAUGCGUAGAGAUCUGGAGGAAUACCGGUGGCGAAGGCGGCCCCCUGGACGAAGACUGACGCUCAGGUGCGAAAGCGUGGGGAGCAAACAGGAUUAGAUACCCUGGUAGUCCACGCCGUAAACGAUGUCGACUUGGAGGUUGUGCCCUUGAGGCGUGGCUUCCGGAGCUAACGCGUUAAGUCGACCGCCUGGGGAGUACGGCCGCAAGGUUAAAACUCAAAUGAAUUGACGGGGGCCCGCACAAGCGGUGGAGCAUGUGGUUUAAUUCGAUGCAACGCGAAGAACCUUACCUGGUCUUGACAUCCACGGAAGUUUUCAGAGAUGAGAAUGUGCCUUCGGGAACCGUGAGACAGGUGCUGCAUGGCUGUCGUCAGCUCGUGUUGUGAAAUGUUGGGUUAAGUCCCGCAACGAGCGCAACCCUUAUCCUUUGUUGCCAGCGGUCCGGCCGGGAACUCAAAGGAGACUGCCAGUGAUAAACUGGAGGAAGGUGGGGAUGACGUCAAGUCAUCAUGGCCCUUACGACCAGGGCUACACACGUGCUACAAUGGCGCAUACAAAGAGAAGCGACCUCGCGAGAGCAAGCGGACCUCAUAAAGUGCGUCGUAGUCCGGAUUGGAGUCUGCAACUCGACUCCAUGAAGUCGGAAUCGCUAGUAAUCGUGGAUCAGAAUGCCACGGUGAAUACGUUCCCGGGCCUUGUACACACCGCCCGUCACACCAUGGGAGUGGGUUGCAAAAGAAGUAAGUAGCUUAACCUUCGGGAGGGCGCUUACCACUUUGUGAUUCAUGACUGGGGUGAAGUCGUAACAAGGUAACCGUAGGGGAACCUGCGGUUGGAUCACCUCCUUA